rnacentral:rRNA from 1 species
CUACACAUGCAGUCGAGCGGUAGCACAGAGAGCUUGCUCUCGGGUGACGAGCGGCGGACGGGUGAGUAAUGUCUGGGAAACUGCCUGAUGGAGGGGGAUAACUACUGGAAACGGUAGCUAAUACCGCAUAACGUCGCAAGACCAAAGUGGGGGACCUUCGGGCCUCAUGCCAUCAGAUGUGCCCAGAUGGGAUUAGCUGGUAGGUGGGGUAACGGCUCACCUAGGCGACGAUCCCUAGCUGGUCUGAGAGGAUGACCAGCCACACUGGAACUGAGACACGGUCCAGACUCCUACGGGAGGCAGCAGUGGGGAAUAUUGCACAAUGGGCGCAAGCCUGAUGCAGCCAUGCCGCGUGUGUGAAGAAGGCCUUCGGGUUGUAAAGCACUUUCAGCGGGGAGGAAGGCGGUGAGGUUAAUAACCUCAUCGAUUGACGUUACCCGCAGAAGAAGCACCGGCUAACUCCGUGCCAGCAGCCGCGGUAAUACGGAGGGUGCAAGCGUUAAUCGGAAUUACUGGGCGUAAAGCGCACGCAGGCGGUCUGUCAAGUCGGAUGUGAAAUCCCCGGGCUCAACCUGGGAACUGCAUUCGAAACUGGCAGGCUAGAGUCUUGUAGAGGGGGGUAGAAUUCCAGGUGUAGCGGUGAAAUGCGUAGAGAUCUGGAGGAAUACCGGUGGCGAAGGCGGCCCCCUGGACAAAGACUGACGCUCAGGUGCGAAAGCGUGGGGAGCAAACAGGAUUAGAUACCCUGGUAGUCCACGCUGUAAACGAUGUCGAUUUGGAGGUUGUGCCCUUGAGGCGUGGCUUCCGGAGCUAACGCGUUAAAUCGACCGCCUGGGGAGUACGGCCGCAAGGUUAAAACUCAAAUGAAUUGACGGGGGCCCGCACAAGCGGUGGAGCAUGUGGUUUAAUUCGAUGCAACGCGAAGAACCUUACCUGGUCUUGACAUCCACAGAACUUUCCAGAGAUGGAUUGGUGCCUUCGGGAACUGUGAGACAGGUGCUGCAUGGCUGUCGUCAGCUCGUGUUGUGAAAUGUUGGGUUAAGUCCCGCAACGAGCGCAACCCUUAUCCUUUGUUGCCAGCGGUNNGGCCGGGAACUCAAAGGAGACUGCCAGUGAUAAACUGGAGGAAGGUGGGGAUGACGUCAAGUCAUCAUGGCCCUUACGACCAGGGCUACACACGUGCUACAAUGGCAUAUACAAAGAGAAGCGACCUCGCGAGAGCAAGCGGACCUCAUAAAGUAUGUCGUAGUCCGGAUUGGAGUCUGCAACUCGACUCCAUGAAGUCGGAAUCGCUAGUAAUCGUAGAUCAGAAUGCUACGGUGAAUACGUUCCCGGGCCUUGUACACACCGCCCGUCACACCAUGGGAGUGGGUUGCAAAAGAAGUAGGUAGCUUAACCUUCGGGAGGGCGCUACCACUU